GGGAGCCUUUCCCUUCAAGCCCAAAAUCUUCUGAUUCGGAUGGCAGAGCUGAUGUACAAAGAAACUAUAACUUGCUCAAGGUUGGACAGAAACCUGUGGCAGAAGGUUUAAAUCCACUUCUGAAAGUCGCCAUCUAACUGCAUCGCAUUUCAUGCGAAGUCUCAAUGCCUAUGGAAUAUUUACAGUAUCACUAGACCUAUUAUGGAAAUAUUAGACUGGGAAGACCUUAGGAGAUCCCUGACCCAGAAUGGAAUUAGCAGAUCAUGUGGGAUCCUUGACGGACAGGCUGUUUCCAUGCUGACUCAUGUUUCCUAGAAGAGCACUUCGCCACAAUAACCCACAGCACUGAGAACUCGCAGCUUCUCUGCACAGCAGGUCUUACAAAAUAGAUGUAUACAGACUACAGUAUUUACAGUAAGAACCUAUUUCCCGGGACUUUGGGCAAACACUCCAAAAUGAAAUCAAAGCUCACAAGCUCCAUUUCCCUACAAAGGCUUAAAAUUAAAGCAUGAUGCACUAAGGGAGUGGGAUACAAAUAUCCCUGUGCCUUGUUACUAGCCUGGGAACAGCUGCAUUGUACAAUGGAGAGAAUAAAAAGCUCUAGCUGGACAGUAAAGUUUAUUUCCAGGUUGGGUUCGGUUUGAAAUAAGAGGAUUUAUCUUUGAAUCCAUGUAGCAGGGAGGGAUUUCAAUGUCCUCUUUCCUUUGGGGUGGAGGAAGCUAUUAAUAAGGCCUUUUAUUAAAUAAUCUUAUUUUUAAAAUAUACAUAGAAGCACUAGCAAUUUUCUGCUUUUUAACACUGGAAAGCCAAAAGAUAUUAAUAUGUAGCACAUUUAAUGCAUAAUUCUGUGCCCUAGAAAGUAAUCUCUCUUGCUUUAUUUUCAAAGAAAGUUCAGGUUGGAUUCUUGCUUCAUCCUCUGUAGCAAUGUAUCUAGCAACAAUGAUAAAAGCCUUGUAUGUGUAUACACUUCAGUACAACCUUCCAAAUUUAUUUAUUUUUUUUAAUUGACUUAUAUGUUGUUGCUUGCCAUUCAAGAAGUGGCAAGAUGGCAGGAGUUACAUAAGGUAUUGUACUCUCCAUGCAUAACAGCUGGAAUUAAGGUAAUGCGGGACACUAAGCACAUAUAGUACAGCUUCCUAGUGGUCUUGCUCACAUUGCAUGGGCCAAGAAGGCACUGUAGAAGUAAUCAGAUGAGACAGGAGAAAAAGUGUAUACUCCUUUUCAUUGAAGUGAAAGAAAAGACUGAUCUCUAUAAACUAGACGAAGCAGAAUUUUUCUGGUGAAGGGGCUGAGGCUCAACAGGGACUGCCUGAGGAGCUGUGGCUGCAUAGUGUUGGGAGGGAGGCUGGUAAAGCUAAUGCCUGACACAAUGACUAGAUAAGUUGGCUUCUAUCAUCUGUUUGUUGCCAUGUUUGUGGAAUUGAGCUCUGGUUGUUUUGUUGCUGAAGUCAUAGCAGCUUUCAAAAUGUCCCUGGCUAAAGAGCACAGCUUUGAUUCUGAAAGAAUCUACAGAACUGCAGGAAUAAUUCUGUGCAGAAUGCUAUCUUCUUGCGUUAUUGUCAUGCAUAUAACUUUCCUAUCUCUUUAGCAGUGAAAAUGCUUUUUUUUUCAAACUUUUGCUUCCUAAUGUUAUGUUGGUGCAGUUGAACUAAUCUCUUUACCUGAUAAGAAAUUGUUCCUACUUUGAAACUUCAUGAAACAUAUGUGAAUUUCCAAGCCUAUAACCUAUUUCCAGAUAGCUGUAAAAAGAGAGGGGUUUUUCAAAAAUAAUUUGUUAUCAAUAAGGCACCUCCUUUCUUAAUUGUUGAAUGAAAUGUCCCUCAAUAUAGGCUCACAGCAUUCACUCUUCUGUUUGCAAAGUAAAAUACAACUUGUUAUUAUCAGUACUGUUUCUCUUUGUUGCUAUCCUUGGUAUAUGGGAGUUGUUUAGGUAAGAUCUUAUGAGAGCUUUUCCUUUAAACUACCCUGUUCGUUCACAAAUUAUUUGUAAAAAAUUAUCUUAAAAAAUUCUGUUUCCCGAUGUUUUAGUUAAUAAAUAUUUU